rnacentral:rRNA from 1 species
UAAUACAUGCAAGUCGAACGGUCUUUCUAUGGAAGCUUGCUUCCACUGAGAAGAUAGUGGCGAACGGGUGAGUAACACGUGGGUAACCUGCCCAUAAGAGGGGGAUAACAUCCGGAAACGGGUGCUAAUACCGCAUAGUUUCUUGAUCGCAUGAUCGGGAAAGGAAAGACGGCCUUUGUGCUGUCGCUUAUGGAUGGACCCGCGGCGUAUUAGUUAGUUGGUGAGGUAACGGCUCACCAAGACGAUGAUACGUAGCCGACCUGAGAGGGUGAUCGGCCACAUUGGGACUGAGACACGGCCCAAACUCCUACGGGAGGCAGCAGUAGGGAAUCUUCCGCAAUGGACGAAAGUCUGACGGAGCAACGCCGCGUGAGUGAAAGAAGGUUUUCGGAUCGUAAAACUCUGUUGUCAGAGAAGAACAAGUUGGAGAGUAACUGCUCCAGCCUUGACGGUAUCUGACCAGAAAGCCACGGCUAACUACGUGCCAGCCGCCGC